ACGGGGUGCAGCAGGCGCGAAAACUCCACAAUGCGCGAAAGCGCGAUGGGGCUAUCCCGAGUGCCGUCCGCUGAGGAUGGCUUUUCUCCAGUGUAAGGAGCUGGAGGAAUAAGGAGAGGGCAAGUCUGGUGUCAGCCGCCGCGGUAAUACCAGCUCUCCGAGUGGUAGGGACGUUUAUUGGCCUAAAACGUCCGUAGCCGGCUUAUUAAAUGCCUGGGUAAAUCGUGUAGCUUAACUAUACGAAUUCCGGGUAGACUGAUAGGCUUGAGACCGGGAGAAGCUAGAGAUACUCCUGGGGUAGAGGUGAAAUUCUGUAAUCCUAGGGGGACCACCAGUGGCGAAGGCGUCUAGCUAGAACGGGUCUGACGGUGAGGGACGAAGCCCUGGGGCGCAAACCGGAUUAGAUACCCGGGUAGUCCCAGCUGUAAACGAUGCAGGCUAGGUGUUUGGACGGUCACGUGCCGUUCUAGUGCCGCAGGGAAGCUGUUAAGCCUGCCGCCUGGGGAGUACGGUCGCAAGAUUGAAACUUAAAGGAAUUGGCGGGGGAGCAC
rnacentral:rRNA from 1 species